GAAGAACAUGGUUCAUGUGUUUGUUUUGUUCUGUUUGUGCUCGUGCCGUCUGAUUGGUGUGUUUGGUGCUGAAGCAAACAAAAUGCUUUCAGUGUCAGUGAUGGAGGGAGAUUCUGUCACGCUAAACACUGAUGUUACUGAAUUUAAUGUCGGCAGGAUAGUGUGGAAAUUUGGAGCUGAAAAGUCUCUCAUAGCAAUGAUCAAAAGGAACAAACAAAACUCUACAUCUGAUGUUCUUGAUGAGAGAUUCAGAGACAGACUGAAGCUGGACAGACAGACUGGAUCUCUAACCAUCACAAACAGCACAACUCAACACACUGGACUCUAUGAAGUAAAUAUAAAUGGAGCGAAACGGUUAACAAAAACAUUCAAUGUUUCUGUCUAUGCUCAGGUGUCUGUUCCUGUCAUCAGCAGAAACUCUUCACAAUGUUCUUCAUCAUCAUCAUCAUCUUCAUCACAGCAGAAUUGUUCACUGGUGUGUUCAGUGGUGAAUGUGGGUCAUGUGACUCUCUCCUGGUACAAAGGAAACAGUUUAUUGUCCAGCAUCAGUGUGUCUGGUCUCAGCAUCAGUCUCUCUCUACCUCUGGAGGUGGAAUAUCAGGAGAAAAACAGCUAAAGCUGUGUGAUCAACAAUCCCAUCACAAACCAGACCACACAUCUCAACAUCACUCAACUCUGUCAACAAUGUGCAGAUCAGGGACUACCUUUAUUAUACGUAGUGUUGAUUUCUGCUGCUGGAUCUCUGUUGAUUGUAGCUGCAGUCGUGAUGUGCUGCAUCUGCAGGAAACUUAGUAAAAAUGACAGAGAAG